AUGCUGCUUUUAGGACCAAGAAAGUUCCAGGUCUGUUGCAAGGAGAGGUUGCUACAGGUGUGGGAGUGUACAUCUCUAUGCCUUUCAACCAAAAGGAAAUUAAUGUGCAAGUUCAAGCUUCAGCUUCUCCUACUUCUACUCCUCUGCAAGCUGAAGCUUUGGCUCUUUCUUUUGCUGCUCAUCUUGCUUCUCAACUCAAUAUUGCGCAGCCCACUUUUCUUUUGGAUUGUCUUGCUUUAG
rnacentral:rRNA from 1 species